AGAAGAAGAAGGACAAGAAGAAGAAGAAGAAGAAAAAGAAGGAUUCUUCUUCUUCAUCAAGCUCCUCAAGUGAUUCUUCUAGUGAUGAUGAUAAGAAGAAAAAGAAGAAGAAGGAUAAGAAGAAAAAGAAGAAGAAAGACAAGAAAAAGGAUUCCAGUUCCUCUUCGGGUUCUUC